rnacentral:rRNA from 1 species
GAUGAACGCUGGCGGCGUGCCUAAUACAUGCAAGUCGAGCGAACAGAUGAGGAGCUUGCUCCUCUGACGUUAGCGGCGGACGGGUGAGUAAUACGUGGAUAACCUACCUAUAAGACUGGGAUAACUUCGGGAAACCGGAGCUAAUACCGGAUAAUAUAUUGAACCGCAUGGUUCAAUAGUGAAAGACGGUUUUGCUGUCACUUAUAGAUGGAUCCGCGCCGCAUUAGCUAGUUGGUAAGGUAACGGCUUACCAAGGCAACGAUGCGUAGCCGACCUGAGAGGGUGAUCGGCCACACUGGAACUGAGACACGGUCCAGACUCCUACGGGAGGCAGCAGUAGGGAAUCUUCCGCAAUGGGCGAAAGCUUGACGGAGCAACGCCGCGUGAGUGAUGAAGGUCUUCGGAUCGUAAAACUCUGUUAUUAGGGAAGAACAAAUGUGUAAGUAACUAUGCACGUCUUGACGGUACCUAAUCAGAAAGCCACGGCUAACUACGUG